AUUCAUCUUAUCAUAGACAGUUUCAUCGAAAAAUUGAUUUUUUUAGUUGUUUUUUUUUUUUAUUUUAUUUUAUCUUGACCAAAGUACAGCAACUUCUCAUUGAACAUCCCGAAUUGGACAGAUGAUAGGCAGAUUUUCAUUCUGGACAUAUGAGAAAGAAAAUGUCUGCAUGUCUUUGGGGAUUAGGUUCAGAAAGAAGUUCUAGUCCCACAAUCGUGACAAUACCACCAAAAUCGGUAAACCGGAGACAGAUAUCAUCAUCAUCAUCAUCAUCCUUUGAAUUGAUCACUGUCAAAGAAUGUUUUCGCAGAAUGAUGCUUUUCAUUAUGAUUGAUGAUCUGGCAUUUUUAACGAUUUUUCUAAAUGCUUUACGUAAAUAUUAAAAGGUGAAUGCGUAAUCCUUUAUUUUAAAAGUACAGAUGUG
rnacentral:lncRNA from 1 species